rnacentral:rRNA from 1 species
AUACGGAGGGUGCAAGCGUUGUUCGGAUUUAUUGGGCGUAAAGCGAGUGUAGGCGGUUUGACAAGUCGAAUGUGAAAUCCCGAGGCCCAACCUCGGAACUGCAUCCGAAACUGUCAGGCUAGAGUCCCGGAGAGGGUGGCGGAAUUCCCGGUGUAGGGGUGAAAUCCGUAGAUAUCGGGAGGAACACCAGUGGCGAAGGCGGCCACCUGGACGGUGACUGACGCUGAGACUCGAAAGUGUGGGUAGCAAACAGGAUUAGAAACCCCAGUAGUCC